CCGAUGGAGGGGGAUAACUACUGGAAACGGUAGCUAAUACCGCAUAACGUCGCAAGACCAAAGAGGGGGACCUUCGGGCCUCUUGCCAUCGGAUGUGCCCAGAUGGGAUUAGCUAGUAGGUGGGAGUAGGCUCACCUAGGCGACGAUCCCUAGCUGGUCUGAGAGGAUGACCAGCCACACUGGAACUGAGACACGGUCCAG
rnacentral:rRNA from 1 species